rnacentral:rRNA from 1 species
UACGUAGGUGGCAAGCGUUGUCCGGAUUUACUGGGCGUAAAGAGCGCGCAGGCGGUCAGAUAAGUCGAAUGUGAAAGCCCCCGGCUCAACUGGGGAGGGUCAUUCGAUACUGUUCGACUCGAAGGCAGGAGAGGGAAGUGGAAUUCCCGGUGUAGUGGUGAAAUGCGUAGAUAUCGGGAGGAACACCAGUGGCGAAGGCGACUUCCUGGCCUGUUCUUGACGCUGAGGCGCGGAAAGCGAUGG